AUUGAACGCUGGCGGAAUGCUUUACACAUGCAAGUCGGACGGCAGCACGGGUGCUUGCACCUGGUGGCGAGUGGCGAACGGGUGAGUAACAUAUCGGAACGUACCCAGUAAUGGGGGAUAACUAACCGAAAGGUUAGCUAAUACCGCAUACGCCCUGAGGGGGAAAGCGGGGGACCGUAAGGCCUCGCGUUAUUGGAGCGGCCGAUAUCUGAUUAGCUAGUUGGUAGGGUAAAGGCCUACCAAGGCGACGAUCAGUAGCAGGUCUGAGAGGAUGAUCUGCCACACUGGAACUGAGACACGGUCCAGACUCCUACGGGAGGCAGCAGUGGGGAAUUUUGGACAAUGGGGGAAACCCUGAUCCAGCCAUUCCGCGUGAGUGAAGAAGGCCUUCGGGUUGUAAAGCUCUUUCGGCAGGGAAGAAACGGCCUAGGAUAAUACCUUGGGCUAAUGACGGUACCUGAAGAAGAAGCACCGGCUACUACGUGCCAGCCGCCGCCGUAA
rnacentral:rRNA from 1 species